rnacentral:rRNA from 1 species
UACGUAGGGUGCAAGCGUUGUCCGGAAUUAUUGGGCGUAAAGAGCUCGUAGGCGGUCUGUCGCGUCGGAUGUGAAAAUCCAGGGCUUAACCCUGGACUUGCAUUCGAUACGGGCAGACUAGAGUUCGGUAGGGGAGACUGGAAUUCCUGGUGUAGCGGUGAAAUGCGCAGAUAUCAGGAGGAACACCGGUGGCGAAGGCGGGUCUCUGGGCCGAUACUGACGCUGAGGAGCGAAAGCGUGGGGAGCAAACAGG